rnacentral:rRNA from 1 species
CGACCGGCGCACGGGUGAGUAACACGUAUCCAACCUGCCGUCUACUCUUGGACAGCCUUCUGAAAGGAAGAUUAAUACAAGAUGGCAUCAUGAGUCCGCAUGUUCACAUGAUUAAAGGUAUUCCGGUAGACGAUGGGGAUGCGUUCCAUUAGAUAGUAGGCGGGGUAACGGCCCACCUAGUCUUCGAUGGGUAGGGGUUCUGAGAGGAAGGUCCCCCACAUUGGAACUGAGACACGGUCCAAACUCCUACGGAGGCAGCAUG